CCUACGGGCGGCAGCAGUGAGGAAUAUUGGUCAAUGGGCGCGAGCCUGAACCAGCCACGUCGCGUGAGUGAAGACGGUCCUAUGGUUUGUAAACCUCUUUUGUCGUGGAGCAAAAGACGCGACGCGUGUCGUUCCGAGAUUACCCGAAGAACAAGCAUCGGCUAACUCCGUUCCGUCAGCCGCGGUAAGACGGGGGAUGCGAGCGUUAUCCGGUUUUAUUGGGUUAAAGGGGUGCCAAGGGGGAAGAUAAAGUUAGCGCGAAAAUUGAGAGGUUCAACGUAUUCGGGCAGUUGAAACUGGUGAUCUUGAGUGAGUGAGAAGUGUGCGGAACGCGAGGUGUAGCGGUGAAAUGCAUAGAUAUAACGCAGAACUCCGAUUGCGAAGGCAGCAUACCGGCGCUCAACUGACGCUCAGGCACGAAAGUGUGGGUAUCGAACAGGAUUAGAUACCCUUGUAGUC
rnacentral:rRNA from 1 species